CCCUUAGAUGUCCGGGGCCGCACGCGCGCUACACUGAAGGAAUCAGCGUGGCUUUCUCCCUGACCCGAAAGGGUUGGGAAACCCGUUGAAUCUCCUUCGUGAUAGGGAUUGGGGCUUGAAAUUGUUCCCCAUGAACGAGGAAUUCCCAGUAAGCGCGAGUCAUAAGCUCGCGUUGAUUACGUCCCUGCCCUUUGUACACACCGCCCGUCGCUACUACCGAUUGAACGGUUUAGUGAGGGCCUCGGAUUGGUCUCGGCCCGCUCUUUACCGGGCGGCGCCGUUGGUCGAGAAGACGCUCGAACUUGAUCGUUUAGAGGAAGUAAAAGGCGGAACA
rnacentral:rRNA from 1 species